rnacentral:rRNA from 1 species
GACGAACGCUGGCGGCGUGCCUAAUACAUGCAAGUCGAGCGAAUCUGCGAUGAGCUUCGGCGUGCUUGCACUCUGUGAAACGAGAUACUGACAAGUGGCUAACGUGUCUGUAACACGUGGGUAACCUGCCGAAGCGGUCGGUAAUACCGCUUGAUACAGUUACCCAUAUGGGUUAAUAGUAGAUGACGCUUUUCAUCUCACUAAUAGAUGGUUCUGCUCUGACUUUUCUAUUGGCCUGCGGUGCAUUAGCUAGUUGGUAGGGUAACGGCCUACCAAGGCAAUGAUGCAUAGCCGACUUGAGAGGCUGAUCGGCCACACUGGAACUGAGACACGGCCCAAACUCCUACGGGAGGCAGCAGUAGGGAAUCUUCCGCAAUGGGCGAAAGUCUGAUGGAGCAACGCCGCGUGAGUGAAGAAGGGCUUCGGCUCGUAAAGCUCUGUUGUUAGGGAAGAACAACUGUGGAAGUAACUGUGCUUGUUUUGACGGUAAUUAAUCAGAAAGCCACGGCUAACUACGUG